AUUGAACGCUGGCGGCAGGCCUAACACAUGCAAGUCGAGCGGAUGAAGGGAGCUUGCUCCUGGAUUCAGCGGCGGACGGGUGAGUAAUGCCUAGGAAUCUGCCUGGUAGUGGGGGAUAACGUCCGGAAACGGGCGCUAAUACCGCAUACGUCCUGAGGGAGAAAGUGGGGGAUCUUCGGACCUCACGCUAUAAGAUGAGCCUGGGUCGGAUUAGCUAGUUGGUGGGGUAAAGGCCUACCAAGGCGACGAUCCGUAACUGGUCUGAGAGGAUGAUCAGUCACACUGGAACUGAGACACGGUCCAGACUCCUACGGGAGGCAGCAGUGGGGAAUAUUGGACAAUGGGCGAAAGCCUGAUCCAGCCAUGCCGCGUGUGUGAAGAAGGUCUUCGGAUUGUAAAGCACUUUAAGUUGGGAGGAAGGGCAGUAAGUUAAUACCUUGCUGUUUUGACGUUACCAACAGAAUAAGCACCGGCUAACUUCGUG
rnacentral:rRNA from 1 species